rnacentral:lncRNA from 1 species
AUGAGGCCCACUGUGAGAAUUUGGGAAUCCAGGACCCUGCAGGGGUCUGCAGCUAAGAGAAGAACCUGCUGUCCUGGCGCAGGAGCACAGGCGCUGGUCAGCCUUGGGGAGCUCAGAUUCCACCCAGAACGGGCAGGGGAGGGGCACUGGGCUGAAGCCCCAUUCAGAGCUCUGUCAUUCCCACUCAGAAAGCCCAGGGCCGUGCCAGGCCAAGUGCUAAGAAGCCAAUAUCCAUGGCUGGAGCUAGAGGACAUGGGCAGUGCCCAAGAUCACUGGCACAGGCACAGCUGGCCAUGCAAGGCAAGGCGUCUGCUGACAUCUGGAAGCCCUCCAACUGCAACAGGCCUCCUCUGGGGACCUGGGCAUCUGUCCCUCAGAGAGGUGAGAAAAUCUCUGCCUGGGCCCAGGGAUGCCACUUUGCCCAAGAGGCAGCAAGGCGGGGCAUCUAUCUUCAGACCACAUGGCCCACCCAUCUGGACACCCAGCAAAUGCCAGCUCCGGGGCUGGGUCACAGACCCACAUGGCCACAUGUCCCUGGCAUGGCGCAGGAGGCUGGCACAGACACUACUGGAGCUAACCCAGGAUGGAAUGAGAGCCAGCAAGUCCUGGACAAGAAGCUUCCAGAGGGCAGAGACUGCCUGCAUGUGGCUCACCUCGGAGCCUGGGACCCUCCCCCAAGGCCUGGCACAGAGCAGCCCCUGGUCAAUAUUAGCUGACUCAAACUGCAUGGGAAGCAGCCCCCCAGCGGUCCACAGGCUGGCCAGGGGGAGUCCAGCCUCCCUAUCCUUUAUCCUCUCCGACCAGACUUUGCCGUCUUGGGGAAGCGGCACAGCCAGACCCAGCAUGGGAGGAGAAGCCAGGGCACCAAGGCAGGUCAGACAGUGGAGACACAGCACCCCCCACCAGGCCUCCAGCAUUUUCCUAAGAGCAGGAUCGAAGCCGCAGAGGAUCCCAGUUCUCCGAGGGAAGUGGCCAGUAGCCCGUGCAAAUCAUUUCUACAGAGGAAAACACAACUCUCACCAGGGAUUUCUCACCCUGGAAGCAAAACCAAGGUUCAUUGUAAAGAAUGCCUGA